rnacentral:lncRNA from 1 species
GGAGAUAGGUUUUCCUCAAAGAAAGUGAGCGAUGCAAAGCGAGCAAUAACAAGGACAAAGGCAAACCUAAUGCCAGGUUCCGGAGGGAAGGCAAGGGUGAGAAGAUGGUGGUACAAGGCCUCCGAAAGAACAGAGGGCAGUCAGGGAAGAAAAAGAGGAAAGGAGUGGAGGGACAGUCCAAGGAAAACGAGUCUGACCGCUUACUUCCUUCUGGGCGUGGCCUAGGCUGGCAAAGCUUGCGUAGACAGUCCGAAAAUCCCUGACGCCUUGUCGGGUGGCCUUCCCUGUUGCCGAUGGCUGUUUGCCCUCCAUCCGAUCCUCGCUCUCUCCCAGCGCCUCCCGGGAGCCGGACGAGCGGCAGCCUGGGGGCCGGUGCCCCGCCGGGCGUGUCAGUGUAGGGGCCGCCGGCGUCUGUGUAAUGCUUCACGUACAUGAUUUGAUGUCAGCCUCACAGCAGUCCUGUGAGGUAGGUACCUCAGUUUUAUUUCACAGAUGAGGAAAGUGAGGCUGAGAGAGGCGAAGUAGCCCCUCCGUGGUCACACACCUCGUGUGAGGUAAUCAGUCCUCGAGCUCGUGGUAAAUACCUGUCUUCCAGACACCUUGCUGGGUGCUGGGCAUAGGAGGACAUGAGAGAAGCAGCCGCUGUCCUGGAAGCUCCGCAGAGGGACAAGUGCGUGAUAGGUGUGUACAGAAGGGAUGGAGGAUAACUUCGUUGGGGAAAGGACCGGUGUGAAAAUCAGGAAAGACGUGUACACCUUGAACUGAGUCUUGAAGGAAAUCAGGUAUUUUGACAGGUGAAGAGGAGUAAUGCAUUGGAGGCUUAGAAGAUAGGGCAAAGGAAGGGAGAAGUUGUUGUGGGGUUGUGUAUGAGGAGCCAUCAGGCCAGCUGGAGUGCCUGAAGCUGGGUGAUAGGAUUGUGAAACUGAAAAAGUUGAUUGGAGAUAAGCUGUGAAAGGUGUUGUCAAGAUAUCAGGAGACACUCUGCUUUCCAGGGCUAAGGCCCAGAAAGUGUGCUGUGCCCUGUGCUUGGCAUAACAACAAUCCUUUGCAAAUGCUGUGGUGGGAUUUAUUAUUUUAUAUGAUAUGUGUAAUGAUUUAGAUUUGUUGGAGCUUCUCUAUUUUCCAGGAGAUCCUGGCCUGAGAGCUGGGGCUACAGCCAAUGUGCUACAGCAAAAAGUGAGCAUCACAUCUGCUAACGCUAUGAACAGUCUCUGUGCUUGUAACUGCUAAGUGAACUGAACCAGGUGCUGCACUCCUUCCUGC